CUACGGGGCGCACCAGUGGGGAAUAUUGCACAAUGGGGGGAACUCUGAUGCAGCAACGCCGCGUGGAGGAUGACGCAUUUCGGUGUGUAAACUCCUUUUAUAUGUCAAGAAAAUGACGGUAGCAUAUGAAUAAGCACCGGCUAACUCCGUGCCAGCAGCCGCGGUAAUACGGAGGGUGCAAGCGUUACUCGGAAUCACUGGGCGUAAAGGACGCGUAGGCGGGUUGGAAAGUCAGGUGUGAAAUCCUACAGCUUAACUGUAGAACUGCACUUGAAACUUCUAAUCUAGAGUAUGGGAGGGGGAGAUGGAAUUAGUGGUGUAGGGGUAAAAUCCGUAGAUAUCACUAGGAAUACCUAAAGCGAAGGCGAUCUCCUGGGACAUUACUGACGCUAAGGCGUGAAAGCGUGGGGAGCAAACAGGAUUAGAUACCCCAGUAGUC
rnacentral:rRNA from 1 species